CACACACACACUGUAGCUCAAUUUUCUUAGGAACUCUUCUACUCUGUGUUGCUUUGGAAACAGUCAAGUCCACAGAAUUGCAGAAUUACUAUGUCUAAGACACAGAUUUGAGAUUGAUUUGUGUGUAACCACUUUUACCUCCACCAGUUUUCUAGGCUGUUCUUGAUAUAUUUUCGUGUGUGUGUGUUUGUGUGUGGUUUUUUGUUUUUGAACUCAGAGCCUAUUACUUGCUAGGCAGAUACUUUUACCACUUUAGCCACAACCUUAGCUCUUUUUACUUUGGUUAUUUUUGGGAUAGAGUAUCAUGUUUAUGUCUUGGCUAUCCUGGACUCUGACCCUCUUAUUUGUACUUCUCAUGCAUCUGGGGUGACAGAGCAUGUGCUAACACAUUAUUGGUGGACUUUUUGCCAGGGCUGGCCUUGGACUUCAAUCCUCCUCCUAAUCUUAGCCCUUCAAGUAGCUAGGAUUACAGAUUGCACCAAGUUAGGCAGUUUUUAUUGCAUAUGAUGGUACUGUGGUGUGUGUGUGUGUGUGUGUGUGUGUGCGCGUGUGCGCGCGCGCACGUGCGCGUGCACGCACUUGAAAGUUGAGAUUGAAUUAAAAAACCUAGUUAGGAAGUUGAAUUUCUGAAGUAGUCAUUUAUGUUCAGUCUGUGUAACUAACGGACAAUUAUCUUUCAGUUUGCUCUGGAAGUUGCUUUAAUGAUUUUCAGAGUAGUGUUUAUGUAUGCCAUCAUUUGCCUAAUUAGCUUUAUAAGGAAAUCCAUGAAGCCUCUUGUCAUAUUGCCAAUAGGGACGACUUUCACUUCUUUGGCGCUUCCUUGAGGUUGGUUUCAGGGACCCCUUUCUGAUCCUGGAUGCUAGCUUUCCAAGUAUGUGUGUGUCGGGGGGCAGGGGGGCUGGGGGUCUUCUUUUAUCCUGGAA